GGGGAAUAUUGGACAAUGGGCGCAAGCCUGAUCCAGCCAUGCCGCGUGAGUGAUGAAGGCCUUAGGGUUGUAAAGCUCUUUCAGCGGGGAAGAUAAUGACGGUACCCGCAGAAGAAGCCCCGGCUAACUUCGUGCCAGCAGCCGCGGUAAUACGAAGGGGGCUAGCGUUGUUCGGAAUCACUGGGCGUAAAGCGCACGUAGGCGGAUCGAUAAGUCAGAGGUGAAAGCCCGAGGCUCAACCUCGGAAUUGCCUUUGAUACUGUCGAUCUUGAGUCCGGGAGAGGUGAGUGGAACUCCGAGUGUAGAGGUGAAAUUCGUAGAUAUUCGGAAGCACACCAGUGGCGAAGGCGGCUCACUGGCCCGGUACUGACGCUGAGGUGCGAAAGCGUGGGGAGCAAAC
rnacentral:rRNA from 1 species